AUUGAACGCUGGCGGCAGGCCUAACACAUGUAAGUCGAACGCGUGGCGGACGGGUGAGUAAUAUCUGGGAAACUGCCUGAUGGAGGGGGAUAACUACUGGAAACGGUAGCUAAUACCGCAUACCAUCGGAUGUGCCCAAAUUGGAUUAGCUAGUAGGUGGGGUAACGGAUCACCUAGGCGACGAUCCCUAGCUGGUCUGAGAGGAGGACCAGCCACACUGGAACGGAGACACGGCCCAGACUCCGACGGGAGGCAGCAGUGGGGAAUAGUGCACAAGGGGGGAAAGCCUGAUGCAGCCAUGCCGCGUGUAUGAAGAAGGCCUUCGGGUUGUAAAGUACUUUCAGCGGGGAGGCGGUACCCGCAGAAGAAGCACCGGCUAACUCCGUGCCAGCAGCCGCGGUAAUAC
rnacentral:rRNA from 1 species